UUAACUGAAGCUAAAUAGAAGCUUCUCACUGUUAAUGAGAAAAUUGAAAUAAAAUCCAGUUAAA
rnacentral:tRNA from 1 species